UGUCUAGGCCAUACCACCCUGAACGCGCCCGAUCUCGUCUGAUCUCGGAAGCUAAGCAGGGUCGGGCCUGGUUAGUACUUGGAUGGGAGAAAACAUGGAAUUAAUUAU
rnacentral:rRNA from 1 species